rnacentral:rRNA from 1 species
AUACGUAGGUGGCAAGCGUUGUCCGGAAUUAUUGGGCGUAAAGCGCAUGUAGGCGGUAAUUUAAGUCUGUCGUGAAACUGCGGGGCUCAGCCCCGUAUGGCGAUGGAAACUGUGGCACUUGAGUGCAGGAGAGGAAAGGGGAACUCCCAGUGUAGCGGUGAAAUGCGUAGAUAUUGGGAAGAACACCGGUGGCGAAGGCGCCUUUCUGGACUGUGUCUGACGCUGAGAUGCGAAAGCCAGGGUAGCGAACGGGAUUAGAUACCCCGGUAGUCCUGGCCGUAAACGAUGGGUACUAGGUGUGGGAGGUAUCGACCCCUUCCGUGCCGGAGUUAACGCAAUAAGUACCCCGCCUGGGGAGUACGGCCGCAAGGCUUAAACUCAAAGGAAUUGACGGGG